CCUACGGGAGGCAGCAGUGAGGAAUAUUGGUCAAUGGACGCAAGCCUGAACCAGCCAUGCCGCGUGCAGGAAGACGGCCCUAUGAGUUGUAAACUGCUUUUGUACAAGGGUAAACCUGAAUAUGUAUAUUCAGCUGAAAGUACUGUACGAAUAAGGAUCGGCUAACUCCGUGCCAGCAGCCGCGGUAAUACGGAGGAUCCAAGCGUUAUCCGGAUUUAUUGGGUUUAAAGGGUGCGUAGGCGGGUUGAUAAGUUAGAGGUGAAAUGUCCGGGCUCAACUCGGGAACUGCCUCUAAUACUGUUGAUCUAGAGAGUAGUUGCGGUAGGCGGAAUGUAUGGUGUAGCGGUGAAAUGCUUAGAGAUCAUACAGAACACCGAUUGCGAAGGCAGCUUACCAAACUAUAUCUGACGUUGAGGCACGAAAGCGUGGGGAGCAAACAGGAUUAGAUACCCCAGUAGUC
rnacentral:rRNA from 1 species